CUUACUUUCUCCUUUCCUCUCUGGGGCUGUGUUGACAUGAAUAUUAACUUACUGUCCAGAGGUAUGAGAGACUAUUUUUUUUUUCCCACUCUAUUUUCUCUGCUAUGUAUAUUGAGUAAAUUCUAUACUCUGUUAUCUCCACAACUGAGUCCAUUCACUUUUUUAAUUUGUUGUUUUUUUAGCUCUAUAAUUUCUUUUUCAUUCUUAAGAAAUUCUAUUUCUUUGCUGAGCUUUUCUAGAAUUUGUAACAGCUUGCUAAAACAUUUUUAUCAUGGCUGCUUUCAAAUAUUCGUCAGAUAAAUCUCAGUGUUGGCACGUGUUCUUUGUUCUCAUUCAUGAGUGAUUUUCCUGGUUCUUGAUAUGAUGGCUGUUUAAUUGUACCCUGACAUUUUUGUUGAGAAAUCCUGGAUCCUGUUAAGGUAUAAUGCCACAGAUGGGUGGGUGUAUGUAUUCCGGUAUGCAGACCUUCCCCUAAGCCAACAUGCAGACAAAAAGCAAGGCACUGAUUGGCAUGGACGUACUGCCAACAGGGGAGGUGGAAGUUCACUUUACUGACACAUUCUUGGCAAAAAUAUGGCUACAAUUCAUCACUUCUCUUGCCUUCAUGUAAGAAAAUCAGCUUCCCUUUGUGCCUAGCUCCCACCAGGGAGCAGCAACCCAAGGGCUAAGUCAUGCCACUUUGUGACGACACAACAGCUGCACCUUAAUGAGCUCCAUUCCACCAGAAAGGGUUAAGUGGGUGCCGGGCAGCCCUGCGUCUUUCCGCCCAUUCUACCUUACUGAUGCCAGUGGGUGUGCAGGCUCAACGCCACUCCCCUCAACUGGAAGACUAUGGCAGGGAGGGGGAAGGGGAAAAGAACAUCAAGCUUUGUGGUAAUUAGACCCUACCUGCCCCACCUGGUUGCACCUGGUUGGCUCUGUUGACACCACCUGGUGAAAAAACUGAAGUGCCAUCUGCUUCUGCCAGGCAGGGAGUGAAAGAUGAGCUCCCUGCUCAGGCAAACCUCCCAUCUCCAGGCAGGGAGACCGCAGCAUGCUGCGUGCUUUCGAGGACGGGUGGGAAAAGGGAGCAGGAAGUCAACUUCUCACUCAGACCUACUGAAAAUGUGUGGAGGUGAAGGGAUUCCCCUGGUGUUUGACUGGCGCAGGGUGAGUACUGACAGUUUCUUAGACCAUCCUUUUCCCUGUCCUUUGGCUAGAGGGAACGGGCUCUUCUUGCAGCUCUUUUUGCCCCUGUGCCUGAUGGCUGUUCAGGACUGGAAGCUUCUGCAGCACCCUGUCCAGGGACAUAUGGGAGCUAAUAAAGAAAACCAAGGAACUCACCACCCUCUUGUUUCCCAAGUCCAGAGGUUCCUGGACGGUCCACCACCUUCCUUCCACCUUUCGGUCUUCCUCUGCUUCUUUAUUGUGCUACUUCCAGGGAUUCUGAGCUUUAGGGGGGUUGAGCUGGGAGGAUUCUGAUGGCUUCAACUGGGCAGAAGAGGAAGUCACUGGCUCACUCCCAUUUACUCCUUUCGUCGUGUGAUUUACACUGUUUCGAUGUGCCCUUUGAUAACUCCUACUCAUCUGGACAGGUUCCUCUUCGUUCCAUUUUUCUCUUACUAAUACACGUUCCAUUAUUCUUACUGUUCCUCAACACUUUCACCUACAGGAGUCAUCAGUCACCUACUCCUACUGUUUCUUACAAAUCACCCUCCACAAAGACACUCUAUGUGUCAAUCUUCCACGCUAAGGUCUUUAGAAUAAUGUCAUUGCCCGCACUUUUCCGUUCAGAAAGUAUAUGAGCACCUACGAUGUACCAGGUAUGAUGUACCAGGCACGAUGUACCAGGCAAGAAAGAGCAUCCAACAGAGGUCAAAGUUUCUGCCCUCGUGAAGCUUAUAUUCUAGUAAGGAACCAAAAAAAAAGAAAAGAAAAAUUAUGUAUACCAUCAUUUAUUAUCCCAGUAAGUUACAAAGGGACCAAUGAGAAUGCCAGUGUCGAAGUAUGGGGACACGAGGGAGUCAGGACCAUACAGAGAGACCACUGCAGGCCACAGUAAGGUUUUAAAUCAUAUGCUAAGUGCACUGGAUUUACGUGUCAAGUAAAGAGGACAAGAGUAAGACCAGACUUAGUCUGGCAACUGGGUACAGAGGUUAAGAGUCACGUUAGAGUAACUAUUUACAAGGCCUUGUGAGCAAAAAUGCUGUCCUAGGACAGCAAUAGUAAGAUCAGUUCCAAGUGCUCAGUUUCAGGAUUUAGUACAAAUGUAGAGCCAACAGAAUUCGUUAAUGGACUCAAUGUGCAGAAGGAGAAGGAGAAGACAAAGGAAAAUGCCAAGUCUUCAGGCCUGAGAUAUGGGGUAAAUUAUAAAGUCAUUUACUAAAAUAGAGGACACGAGGUAAUGGGCAGAACUGGAGGAAGAGAAAAAAAUGUUUGCUUUUAGACAGAUUUGAGACGCUUAUUACUCACCUAGGAAUUGAUCAAUUUAGAUCACUGAAAAUACAAAUCUAGACCCCGGGGAAGAUGGAUAAUCUGGAGUUCCCGUUGUGGCGCAGUGGUUAACGAAUCCGACUAGGAACCAUGAGGUUGCGGGUUCGGUCCUGAUCUUGCUGAAUGGGUUAACGAUCCGGCGUUGCCGUGAGCUGUGGUGUAGGUCGCAGAUGCGGCUCGGAUCCCGCGUUGCUGUGGCUGUGGCGUAGGCCGGUGGCUACAGCUCCGAUUCGACCCCUAGCCUGGGAACCUCCAUAUGCCGCGGGAGCGGCUCAAGAAA
rnacentral:lncRNA from 1 species